rnacentral:rRNA from 1 species
GCGGUGGAUUAUGUGGAUUAAUUCGAUGCAACGCGAAAACCUUACCUGGCCUUGACAUGUACCGAAUUUACCAGAGAUGGUUAGUGCUCGAAAGAGAACGGUAACACAGGUGCUGCAUGGCUGUCGUCAGCUCGUGUCGUGAGAUGUUGGGUUAAGUCCCGCAACGAGCGCAACCCUUGCCAUUAAUUGCCAUCAUUUAGUUGGGCACUUUAAUGGGACUGCCGGUGACAAACCGGAGGAAGGUGGGGAUGACGUCAAGUCCUCAUGGCCCUUAUGGCCAGGGCUUCACACGUAAUACAAUGGUCGGUACAAAGGGUUGCCAAGCCGCGAGGUGGAGCUAAUCCCAUAAAACCGAUCGUAGUCCGGAUCGCAGUCUGCAACUCGACUGCGUGAAGUCGGAAUCGCUAGUAAUCGUGAAUCAGAAUGUCACGGUCGAAUACGUUCCCGGGCCUU